rnacentral:rRNA from 1 species
ACGGGUGAGUAACGCGUGGGUAACCUACCCUGUACACACGGAUAACAUACCGAAAGGUAUGCUAAUACGGGAUAAUAUAUUUGAGAGGCAUCUCUUAAAUAUCAAAGGUGAGCCAGUACAGGAUGGACCCGCGUCUGAUUAGCUAGUUGGUAAGGUAACGGCUUACCAAGGCAACGAUCAGUAGCCGACCUGAGAGGGUGAUCGGCCACAUUGGAACUGAGACACGGUCCAAACUCCUACGGGAGGCAGCAGUGGGGAAUAUUGCACAAUGGGCGAAAGCCUGAUGCAGCAACGCCGCGUGAGUGAUGAAGGCCUUCGGGUCGUAAAACUCUGUCCUCAAGGAAGAUAAUGACGGUACUUGAGGAGGAAGCCCCGGCUAACUACGUGCCAGCAGCCGCGGUAAUACGUAGGGGGCUAGCGUUAUCCGGAUUUACUGGGCGUAAAGGGUGCGUAGGCGGUCUUUCAAGUCAGGAGUGAAAGGCUACGGCUCAACCGUAGUAAGCUCUUGAAACUGGGAGACUUGAGUGCAGGAGAGGAGAGUGGAAUUCCUAGUGUAGCGGUGAAAUGCGUAGAUAUUAGGAGGAACACCAGUUGCGAAGGCGGCUCUCUGGACUGUAACUGACGCUGAGGCACGAAAGCGUGGGGAGCAAACAGGAUUAGAUACCCUGGUAGUCCACGCUGUAAACGAUGAGUACUAAGUGUCGGGGGUUACCCCCUUCGGUGCCGCAGCUAACG